CGCACAUUGCGCCCAUUAGUAUUCUAGCGGGCAUGCCUGUUCGAGCGUCAUUUCAACCCUCAGGCCUUUAGUUGUCUGGUGUUGGGGCAUCUACAGCGAUGUAGACCCCGAAAAAUAGUGGCGGUGCUCGCCAGCACUCCGGGCGCAGUAGUUUAUUUCUCGCCUAGGACGUCUGGUAGGCUGCCGGCCGUGAAACCCCCCCCCUAUAUUAUAAAAGGUUGACCUCGAAUCAGGUAGGAAUACCCGCUGAACUUAA
rnacentral:misc_RNA from 1 species